GCUACGGGUGGCAGCAGUGAGGAAUAUUGGUCAAUGGACGAGAGUCUGAACCAGCCAAGUAGCGUGAAGGAUGACUGCCCUAUGGGUUGUAAACUUCUUUUAUAAAGGAAUAAAACGAGGCACGUGUGCCUCUUUGCAUGUACUUUAUGAAUAAGGAUCGGCUAACUCCGUGCCAGCAGCCGCGGUAAUAGGGGGGAUCCGAGCGUUAUCCGGAUUUAUUGGGUUUAAAGGGAGCGUAGAUGGGUUGUUAAGUCAGUUGUGAAAGUUUGCGGCUCAACCGUAAAAUUGCAAUUGAUACUGGCAGCCUUGAGUACAGUAGAGGUAGGCGGAAUUCGUGGUGUAGCGGUGAAAUGCUUAGAGAUCACGAAGAACCCCGAUUGCGAAGGCAGCUUACUAAACUGUGACUGACAUUGAUGCUCGAAAGUGUGGGUAUCAAACAGGAUUAGAUACCCGAGUAGUC
rnacentral:rRNA from 1 species